UGUGAGGGACAGAGUGGACUGGUAAUACUGGGAGGGGCACUCAGUGGACUGGUAAUACUGGGACAGAAAAGCAGAGUGGACGAACCUGAAGCAGACUGAGGAGGAGAGUGACGUUCACACAGUUGAGUGCGACAACAAGCUAACUGUGACGGUUGUUUAUUACGUCAACGCUGCCUUUUAAGGUAGCGUUGGGUGCGCGUGUGCUAUUUUAAAAGUGCGCAGUUGUCUUUUUGCGCCGUUGUGUAACGUAUGUUUGUGGCUGCAUCAUUGUGGUCAGACGAAACUGAACAAGACGGCUGUGUAAUUGUCCUGACCCUGCCAUGCUUUCUCUUUACCUCCAAACCCGAAGGUGAUACCUCGAUGCCACUGCUGAAGGGCCUCCCCAUGAAGCGAGUGACAGUGCAGAGGAUCGGGACAUCACUGCAACCAGGAACACAG